UUGUUCAACGAUACUGUCUGGAGGACACCUGCCUGUCAGCCCAUUACAGGUUCCCCGCAAACGUGUGCGUCACCGGCGUUGCGUCUUCACAGGAUGCUGCUGCUGCUGCUGCUGCCGGGCCUUCUGCGUGGCGCCGGGGCCAGGAGCGUGGAGGGAGCCGCGGCCGGACCGGGCCCCCCGCCGCUCCUGCUGGUGUCGUUCGACGGCUUCAGCGCCGACUACCUGCGGCGGUUCCCCAUGCCCAACCUGAAGCGGCUGUACAGCCAGGGGGUCCUGGUGGAGCAGCUCACCAACGUCUUCAGCACCAAGACGUUUCCCAACCACUACAGCCUGGUGACGGGGCUCUACCCCGAGUCCCACGGCAUCCUGGCCAGCAACAUGUACGACCCCGUCAGCCACAAGAGCUUCCACGUGGGCCCCGGCACCGACCCGAUGUGGUGGGACAAGGCGCGGCCCCUCUGGGUCACGGCGCUGGACUCCGGCUACGAGACGGCGGUCACGAUGUGGCCCGGCUCCGACGUGGUCAUCGGUAACCGCACGCCGUCGCACUUCCUGCCCUACGACUCCGGCGUGACCUUUCGACAGCGGCUGGGCAACGCGACGAAGUGGAUGCUGGGAGACGGAAAGGAGCAAGGGGCGAUGUUCACAGCGAUCUACUGGGAGGAACCGGACUGGUCGGGUCACAUGUUCGGCCCGGACAACGACACGGCCAUGGGCCAAGUGCUGAAAGAGGUCGACGACAACGUCGGCCUUCUGAUUUCAGAGCUGGUCCGCACCGGCCUCUGGGGCCGCGUCAACCUCCUGGUGACCAGCGACCACGGCAUGACCCAGUGCUCGGCCGAGCGCCUCAUCCGGCUGGACGACUGCCUCCACCCCGACAACUACACGCUGGUGGACCUCUCCCCCGUCACGGCCCUCAUCCCGCUCCGAGACCCGGACGCCGUCUUCGCCUUGCUGGAGAAGUGCCACCCCAACAUGACGGCGUAUUUGAAGUCGGACAUCCCCGACAGGCUGCACUACCGGCACAAUGAGCGCACGCCGCCGCUCAUACUGGUCGCCGACGAGGGCUGGACCAUCGUUCAGCGGGGGAACCGGCUGCCGCGCCUGGGCGACCACGGCUACGACAACUCCCUGACCAGCAUGCACCCCUUCAUGGCCGCGGUGGGGCCCGGCUUCCGCCAGGGCUAUCGGAUCAGCAGCAUGCAGAGCGUGGACAUCUACCCGCUCAUGUGCCACCUGCUGGCGGUGCCCCCGCAGCCCAACAACGGCACCCUGAACCAGGCCCGGUUGCUGCUGGCCACCGACACCUACUGGGAGGCGCCGGUGGUGGUCGGCAUGGUGGUGGGCGUCCUGUUGGUGCUCACAACCAUCACCGUUCUCUUCAGGUUCCUGAGGCUCCGCGGCCCGUCGGGCUCCCGGCCCUUCCAGAGUCUCCCGGUUGACGAGCCCCGUCUGGAGCGAACCCGGUCGGGUCACCUGAACCUGCGUGGCCUGUUCCUGCUCGCCUGGAGCUGACGCAAGAGCUGUUUUGAACACGAUCGAUGACGGCAGCCAUCCUUUCUACAGUGGAGACUGGAGAUGUGAGACCCUGCUAUCAUCGGAAUUUAAAAACAACCUAUCUAAUAUCAGUGUGCUUUAUACAACACGGUGGCACAGACUCCUACGAAAAACACAGUUUCCAGUCUUCUCUCGUCGUACAUUCUGGAUAUUUAUAAAGAACAUUUACGAUCGGUACAUUUGAAAAAGCCAUCUAACCAACUCAUUGAACAUAGAUCCAACGGAGGAGGAUUACCAGUAGAAGCUGGAGAACACGGUGGAAAAGCAUGACCCCGACAAAAUAAAAGUUCAUGGUACAUCCACGUUAAGGACUCGUCCCUGCCCUGUGCUUAUAGUAAAUAUUCACACCUGAGUCGAACCUUUGAAAUCACUCCGACGCACUCCUAAAAGAAAAAAAGGACUGAUCGGGUCCAAACUGGUCUGAGAUCAGAGAGAUGAGUAAUGAUCAUUUUCACAGCUCCGGACCAAGCAAAGAACUUUGGUGAAAAGUAAAAAGCAUAUGAAGCAUAACUCACACACACACACACAGCCUCAUAUGCCUUGCAGACCCUGAUACUGGAACAUUUACAUGUUCAUCCAAAGAACAAAAAAACAAAACAGUUUUUUUUUAACGUUUCACAAUCGGAUGCACAGUCAUCCGCCAGGAGGUCGCAUCCAUCCCGGUCAUUCCCUAAAAGGUACAUUAUGCGGUUACCCCCCUCCCCCGAUCAAUUUGAACCUAUCUGCAGACGAACUCGAUGAAUUAACUUCAUAUAAAUGAAAUAUAAACAAACGUCAAAAGUCACACGUUUGCAUUGUUGUACAUUAACACUUUCCUGGUUUUGGCUUUCUUCUCCUCUGAUUUGCAAACAAAGACAAAAGUACAAGGAUUACAUGAGAACAGUGAUGUGGUAUUAUUGUGUGUGUGUAAAGGUUAUACAAGCCCAGAAGCUUUGUGUGUGUAACCUUUGCAUAGCUGUGGAUGUGUAGCCGGACAAUGACACUGGCUGAGUGGGCGUGGCUCUGGGUUCAUUCGGAGCAUGCGGACUCAACUGGAGAAUGUGACUUUUGGGUUUUUUUAGACCAGAUAUGAAGGUUAGUGUGAAUUUAAAACAAAAUGGACACGGUAUAGAAGAUUAUGACACCGACCGUUUUGAUUACGAGGCUACUGCCGAGCCUGAACGCCACAUGGGAAAACCUCCGCGUGAAAAAAGGAACCGUGUGUGGUUUCAUUUUUUGGUUGUGUCCGACCUGA